CGGCGGCGUGUCUGGCGUCCCCGGGUUGGGGAGCUCAUUUAACGGGCCUCCGCCCGUGGAUGAGCACGCAAGGAUCUCUCCAUGGAUAUGUCCAUUAUGCGGGGUAGAGGCUGGAGACUGCUACUAACCUGUGAGCGGCUCCCCAGAGGUAUGGCCCUGGUUCUUAUUGGCACUUUCGCCAUGUAAGUUUCCACUGUAACCACUACUGCAAUCCCCUUGUUUUUACCCAUAGAUGCUAACCAACCUGUUUCCCACAGCCAUCUGGUUUGCAAUAUCUAUCUUUACACAUACCGUUUACCCACUGUAUGUUUAUUUACCAUUGCAUUUGGUUACCCCCUACCUCCAUCAUGCCUCUACCCACGCAGUACUAUUUACUAUCAUUUGUUUUGGCAAUCCAUCCCCAUUUAUCGAAGAUCCUCGCAUAUUCCCCCCAGUCCACCGCACAGGGUAAAUUGCUCCGGCGGGUUGGUGCCACGCAUGACCACCAUAUAUGGCGGGUAAGCCAGUUCCAAUCAAACUCUAAUGUCUAUAUUAAUCUUCAGCUGAAUUAUUGUCUACCAAUUUUCUUGUCUUAUUUUUCAUUGUAUUGUUUUGUAGAAUGAUUCUCCUGAAGAAGUGGUCAAACCACGAAACUAGUCGAGACUCAGAUCAUUCCAUAUGGUUGUAAAUUACAGAAAUUGCCUCGAGUUAUCUUAGGCCUCUGUUUUUUCAAUUUUAAUCAUGUAUUUAUUGUACAAUCCUUUAUGUAAUAAAUUUCUUUUUAAAUUAUA